rnacentral:lncRNA from 1 species
GGGAUCCCGGUGAAGGGCCAGCCCGAAGGCCGGUCCAAAGGAAACUCCAUUUCCUGAAAUUCUGCAGCUGCUUCCCCUUUAUCAAAGGAGCCUUUCAUCUGCCGAGGGAACAAAUGGCUGUCUGUGGUGCCUGUCGCAUAGCGAAGUGCACACUAGCCUCCAGCUCUGGGCUCUUCCGGAUGCCUCUGGCUGUUCUCUCUCUCAUAGCUACAAUAAAGAUCAUGGUGGCACAUGCUUUUAAUAACCUGCACUCAGGAGCCAGAGACAAGAGGAGCUCUUGUGAGUUCGAGGACAGCCUGAACUAUACAGCAAGCUUCAAGACAGACAGGACAGCAUAAAGAGACCCUGUUUCAAGAAACCAGUCAGGGCUGGAGAGAUGCUGGAGAGAUGGCACAGCAGUUAAGAGCACUGACUGCUCUUCCAGAGGUUCUGAGUUCACAUGAAGAAAAAACUUAUGCC